rnacentral:rRNA from 1 species
GUUUGAUUAUGGCUCAGGAUGAACGCUGGCGGCGUGCUCAACACAUGCAAGUCGAACGAACCUUCGGGUUAGUGGCGGACGGGUGAGUAACGCGUGAGAAUCCGCCCUCAGGAGGGGGAUAACAGCUGGAAACGGCUGCUAAUACCCCAUAUGCCGCGAGGUGAAAUGAAUUUCGCCUGAGGAUGAGCUCGCGUCUGAUUAGCUAGUUGGUGUGGGUAAUGGCUCACCAAGGCAUCGAUCAGUAGCUGGUCUGAGAGGAUGAUCAGCCACACUGGGACUGAGACACGGCCCAGACUCCUACGGGAGGCAGCAGUGGGGAAUUUUCCGCAAUGGGCGAAAGCCUGACGGAGCAACGCCGCGUGAGGGAUGAAGGCCUCUGGGCUGUAAACCUCUUUUAUCAAGGAAGAAGAUCUGACGGUACUUGAUGAAUAAGCCACGGCUAAUUCCGUGC